GUCCUGGAGCCUUAAAAUCCCACCUCUCUUAAAGAAGUUUCCCUGUCCUGUGGGAUUAAUUCCACUGAAUAACUUUGAGUUCUUGUGACAAAGACAUGCCCUAACUACAGGACAGGUCUAGCUGUCCUAGCCCACUGAGGAAUUGAGCAGCCCUGGGCUUAGCAGUGGCCCGCAAACUCCUCGUCCAUAUCAACCCAUUCAGAAGCAUCCCUGCUGGCUUCAAGAGGAGUUUCUAGUCUGUUCUGCCCCUGCUCCUGAAUUCCAGAAUGCUGUGAAAUGAACAAGACAGUCCUAAUCUUCCUCAAGUGGUUCUUCCUCUUCAUGGAGUUUUUCCCGAUUACUAAUAGUCUCAUUGCACUAUGUCUAAAUCGAGCUAUUGAACGAAGCUAGAGAGCAUUCCACUGUACACGCAAUGAAGGAAGAUCAUGCUGGGACAGUCACCUUCAACAUCGUGCAUUCAGUCUAAAUUUACAGUAAUAGACUCGUACUCCAAGAAUGCUUGCUGUGUUUGUUUGCAAACUAGUAUGCAGUACUUACAAGUCUGUGGUUUUAUUGACAUAUUCCUUUCCUUUCCUGUGGAUUUUAAUUGA